GUGGUAAUGCCGGAUGCUCCGGUUGGAUGCAUGUCCUUCCGGGAAAGAUUCCAUCGGUAUGGGAUGGGGUCGCGUCCUAUCAGCUUGAUGGCGGGGUAACGGCCCACCAUGGCUUCGACGGGUAGCCGGCCUGAGAGGGCGACCGGCCACAUUGGGACUGAGAUACGGCCCAGACUCCUACGGGAGGCAGCAGUGGGGAAUAUUGCACAAUGGGCGCAAGCCUGAUGCAGCGACGCCGCGUGCGGGAUGGAGGCCUUCGGGUUGUAAACCGCUUUUGAUCGGGAGCAAGCCCUUCGGGGUGAGUGUACCCUUCGAAUAAGCACCGGCUAACUACGUGCCAGCAGCCGCGGUAAUACGUAGGGUGCAAGCGUUAUCCGGAAUUAUUGGGCGUAAAGGGCUCGUAGGCGGUUCGUCGCGUCCGGUGUGAAAGCCCAUCGCUUAACGGUGGGUCUGCGCCGGGUACGGGCGGGCUGGAGUGCGGUAGGGGAGACUGGAAUUCCCGGUGUAACGGUGGAAUGUGUAGAUAUCGGAAAGAACACCA
rnacentral:rRNA from 1 species